rnacentral:lncRNA from 1 species
GGGUAAAAGCACAAAAUUAACUGUCAUCCAAGCCAAAGAAGAUAAAAUCAUGUGAAAUCAAGGUAAUCUUCUGAAAGAUCUAUUGGAUAUUGGUGGGGAAGAAACUCACAGCACAGCCAAAAGAAUCUCCUGAUUGAGUUUUAAAGUAGAAAAAAUUCCCAGUCCUGGUGAACUGCACAACCAUUGACUGAUCCAUGUGGUGUCUCAGAGCCUCGGGUGCUGUCUUGAGAAGGUGAAAAAUGUGGUUCAUACUCCAACUGUCUGUGUGAACCCAAUCCAGAGGGAACAUUUUGGGACCAUUUCCUGUGUUUUGGGUAAAAUAGGAGCCCUGGUUAAAUGAAGAGAGAAAUGUAGCCACCAUUUCUGACUCAAGAGGAGGAAACAGGUUUGUCUUCAGUUUAACAGCCCAAGAUAUUCCUGCGUCAAGUUUGCAGUGCUGAUCAAUGGGAGAUUCAUGCUCAUCCAUUAAAGUGAAGUCUGAUGUAAGUAGCCACAGUCAAUUCAACUCUGAUAAAAAGGCUUGACUUAAAUAAUCUUUUAUAUUUGUUUGCAGAUUACUGUCUCACUUUCUUCUCUUUUUUUCUUUCUCUUUUUUUCAUUUUUUUCAGCUCCAGCUCUUUCCCUGACAAUGCCUGAGGCCCUAUUUUCUGCUGCUGCUUUUCUGCAGACUCUCAACAUCACCUGGAGCCUGCUGAGAGUGCCACCAAAUGAAGGAGCAGCAAGAACCCACUGGUGGAAGAGCUGAGGUUUAAGCUUGCUGUUUGAGAGAGAGAACUUCAUCUGAGAAACAAAGACACCAAGGCACAGAUUGACAAAACAUAGAAAAGCUUGGUAAAAGAAA